rnacentral:rRNA from 1 species
AUUGAACGCUGGCGGCAGGCCUAACACAUGCAAGUCGAGCGGAGCGGGGGACGGGCGAGUAAGUACUAGGAAUCUGACUGGUAGUGGGGGAUAACGACCGGCAGCGGGCGGUAAUACAGAAUACUAUCAGAUGAGCCUGGCUAGGUUUAGCUAGUUGGUGGGGUAAAGGCUGACCAAGGCGACGGUCCGUAACUGGUCUGAGAGGAUGAUCAGUCACACUGGAACUGAGAAACGGUCCAGACUCCUACGGGAGGCAGCAGUGGGGAAUAUUGGACAAGGGGCGAAAGCCUGAUCCAGCCAUGCCGCGUGUGUGAAGAAGGUCUUCGGAUUGUAAAGCACUUUAAGUUGGGAGGCGUUACCAGCAGAAUAAGCACCGGCUAACUUCGUGCCAGCAGCCGCGGUAAUAC